CCCAGUUCGAGCUUCCAGGCCGCUUUGUUUAUCUACUCAAGCCUGACCAAUGGCGGGCACCCCUCCCCCAGCCUCGCUGCCGCCUUGCAGUUUGAUCUCAGACUGCUGUGCUCGCAAUGAGUAAGGCUCAGUGGGCAUGGGACCCUCCAAGCCAUGCGUGGGAUAUGAUCUCCUGUUAUGCCGUUUGUGAAGCCUGUUGGAAAAGUGCAGUAUUAGGGUGGGAGUGACCUGAUUUUCCAGGUGCCGGCUGUCACCCCUUUCUUUGACUAGGAAAGGGAAUUCCCUGACCCUUUGUGCUUCCUGGGUGAGGCGAUGUCUCGCCCUGCUUCGGCUCAUGCACGGUGCGCUGCACCCACUGUCCUGUACCCACUGUCCGUCACUCCCCAGUGAGAUGAACCCGGUACGUCAGUUGGAAAUGCAGAAAUCACCAGUCUUCUGCGUCGCUCAUGCUGGGAGCUGUAGACUGGAGCUGUUCCUAUUCAGCCAUCUUGGCUCCACCCCGUCUUGUAGUAAAUAUCUAAAUUAUCUGUGGCAACAACUUGGUGGGGUCAACUCGAAUGUUUUUGUCGGCUGUUCUUGAAGACUUCUGGGUCUCUACAACCACAUUCUUUGGCUGGUGCCAGUGUUUAAGCACUCUGAAACUGCAUAGCAGCAUGUUUGAAGGUGGCCUGUCAAAUUUGGGAAACUGACGGUGUGACUGAGCUAGUCACAGGGGUCUUCACAGAAAAGGCAGUCGGGGUCCUGGUCAACUGGAGAUUCCAUCUGAAUGUGAAUGGAUUUAAAAGGUGACUGGAACACUUCUUUCUGACCUCAGAGAUGUGAUGGAUGUCCGGGAAGAUUUUCUCAAGGGCUAGAAGUUAAGAACUUUGUUCCUACUGUUUAUCUUUUUCCCUUUCAUAUUCAAGCCACUUAACCAUACUGAGCCUCAACUUUUUCAUUUAUAAAAUGGAAAUCAUUUUAACUUUUCUCUGGAGGACAGCUGUUGCCUGCCCAUCACUAUUUCCUCCUUUUCUGGUGACAACAUCCUACUUUCCUUCAAAGAAUAAUGCCUACCCCAUUAUAAUAACUUUUACACGGGGCUGUCCCAACACAUGCUGCCUUCAAGGCUAGGUGCAUGACACAGGCCUGGCCAAUCAGUGUGUCCAAUCCCUCUGGCCACUGUGAUUGGUCCAGUUACGGGUAUAUGAUGCAGAUCAAUCCAGUAAAACUCAACCUCGUGACUUUUACUGGAACCAUCAGUCAAGACGCCUUCUUUUUCUGUGAGUUUUCCAGGCUAGGAGAAGGAAAGUUAGAGCCCUGGGAUGCCACGUCAUGAGAAAAGCCUGCCAGAGAGCAAAACUAGCACAAAGGAAAGAAAGUAUUCCAAUAAAAGGGUGACGCUGAAAGCUGAAAUGUGAAUUUGUUAAAUCCUCAAAUAGCCAACAGCUUCUAGGACAAGAUCAUACACAGUUAGGACCUCGAUAACAAUUUGUUAGUGGAAUAGAUAAGAACAUUUUAGAUCCUGUUGCUCAAUUCUGAAAUGCUGCUCUGUGUCAUGAAUAUUGGUUUAUUUUCUUUGUAGAGUGAAGUCAUUAAGACUAGAGCUCCAGGCUUCUUCAUCCAACUCCAAGGGUUCCCAGCAACAUGUGAAGUCCUCUAUCUGUCACUAAGAAGCCGUGUGAGUGAAGCAGGCUAUAUACCUUGGUUUCAACAUCUGUGAACAAGAUGAGAAGAAUACACCUUGGCAGCUGCUGGAUCAAGGCAAAUGAGAGACCCAUGGAGCUCACUAAAUCCAACUCUACAGCUUGGAGCUAAGCCUAACUUAGCCAAGUCUAAACCAGUUUGACCUCAGCCAAUUCACAGAUGUUUGAGCCAGAAGUAAGGUGCUUGUUGCUGGAAGCCAGUUAAAUUUUGAGAUCUUUUUGAAAAAUAUAUUGUCAUUGCAGACAUAGAUGCACAUAGUUUUCCACACUGUGGGAAGUCAAAUUAAGCAUGCUUAGACUUUUAAAGCAGAAGCCCAUUAUUAGUGGGGUGGCAAAAAUGUUACAAGUGACAUAGUCCUCCAAUUUCCUUCUUCUAGCCCUCUGCCUAAGAACUAGUGUACUUCAUUUUGAAGUGGAGCCCUAACGGGAGUGUUCAUCUUCUGUCAACAGGGUUAAGCCUCUUGACGCUUACUGGGCACUCACAGUUGUUAGUUCCCUGGAAGACAUGAAAGAGCUUGAUUGGUUCUGUAGUCGUCAGUCAAUAACCAACUGUAACAUACCUACACUUCCAACAAAAUCUUGAUUUGGGAAAUUGAGUGUCUGCUUAUAGUUAAUCCUCUAUUUUUUGACACCUAGUAGGAAAAACAUUUUCAAAAGAGCCAUGACCUGACUCAGUUAAUAUGCAAGGAAAAAUAAGCAGUUCCAAACUUGUCAGUUUAUCCAUCAUCCCUUAUCCAAAAUCCUUCAACUCUCUUGGAAUUAUUUUGUUCUUCAUACUUGCCCAACAAAUAUCUUACUCUUGUCUUGGACUUUAUUUUAUAGUUAUCUCACAUAAGCUCCUUGUGGCUAAGGGCACAUAUUUGGAAUCAGACUACCCUAGUUCAACUCUUGGGUCUACCAUUUAUUAGCUUGUAUUACUUUGGGAAAGAUAAUUAAAUUCUCCAGAUCUAAUUUCCCCCAUUAUAAGAUAAUAAUAGUUAUUACCUGCUAGGAUUGUCUUGAGAAGUAAAUUAGAUAAUUCAUAAGAACCAUUUAACACAGUGCCAGCCACAUAAUGAAGGCAUAGUAAGGGAAAGUUAUUAUGCUGUUGAUAAUACUUGUCUAGGCAGGGGUCUCAUAUUUUUCCCUGUAUCCAUUACUGUACAAUUCAUCUGUCCCAUGACAUUCUAAGAUUGUUUUAGAGUGAGUUGCUUCAGAGUUGAAUAAUUCUAAUAAUAUAUUCUCAUGUUUGGAAACAACUUGGAAUUCCAUUUAGUGUAGACAUCAACAAUGAAAUCGCUAGAGGAUGAGUAAUUUCUACAAUUUUUAUUCAUUAUAGAGAGACCAAUGGGUAUAAUGGUGAAAAGAACUGAGUAGAAGGUCAGGAGGUCAAAGAGACUGAGUUUAAACCCUCACUCUGCUGAGUACUGUUAAUAAUGGUAUGAUCUUAAGAGAACUAAUCUUUAGUUUUUCCCACCUUAAAAACAGAGUUGUCAUGAGUAUUUAAUAAUAGAGGGUAGUAUGUAAACUUCCUGGCAUAUAGCAACUGCUCAACAAAUAGAAGUUAUAGUUUUUUCUUAACUUGCCAAAGAGCCAAGGGAAAAAUGAAGAUUUUGUAGCCAAAGCCAUUUAUCUUUCUCUGUUAUGUGCCUAUCUGUUCCAGAAACAGAAUCAAUUCCUUGAACCUCAUCAAAGGAAGGAUUUGAACAUUUAAAAAAAAAUCAAUCUCUUUGGGUUUGUUAUUGCUUGUUUCCCAUACCUCAGAGACACAAAUACAAACCUUUAUAAUGUCAUCAGGAAGAAGAGGAGUCAAACACUCCUUAACUCAAUAAUUGCAAUGUUAUUAUUUUGCAAGGAAUAGAGUCAAAAUUCCAUUCACAUGAGGACUGUAACUUCUUCAUUACUCCUUGAGGCACGAUGUCCUUGAUUUUAAGUAGCUCAUGUAGAAACUAGUUGUAAGUCUUUAGCGGAGAGACUGUACUGGAAUUAUAGGAUCUACUUAGGGGUUUGAGCUUCCCCACCCACUUAGAGUGACAGUUCACACCUAUAAAAACACAAAAGUCCGGGGGUUUAUUAAACAUUAGGAGAUCCAAAGAGCCAAGACUUCUACCUGUAAAAGUGGUGCUUCCUAAGCAGAAGAAAUGGAAUUUCUCAGAGAAUACAGCUUGGCUUGACCAAUGGACUGUACAAGGAAGAUUAGGAGGUAAUUACUGGGGUAAAAGAGAAAUGGUUGCAUCUUUCUGGAACACUCUAAUAAAACUGAAAGUUUUUCCUGAUUUCUUCUUUUAUUUGAUACAAGGGUCAAAUUUGAUACAUAAAGUCAUAAUGUCCCACAUGUACUUCUCAGGAACAUCUGUUUAGUCCUACUACAAAACUUGGGGAACAUGGUUUCCUAAUGUGGUACCAGUCGUCUCUUCAUGGAUGACUUCAGGAAGAAAUUCUGACUGGCAGACUCCACAAGUAUAAGACAAUAAGAGGCCAAUUUCUUUAUUCUUCUCCUCUUCUCCGCUUGUCCCCCCACCUCAUUAGCUUUGGGAGAAUAACACAGUGUGGAACAGAAAAAUAAGGAGCCUUGUUGUACUUCAUUGGCCUCAAGAGGUCUCAUCUAUUAAAUAGAUCCAUUAUGUUACUCUCAGAGAAAAUUAUAGUCAAAAAUAUUUCAAGUUUUAGGGCAGUACUGAAUAUAUAAGGGCUCUGUUACUUAAUCUCUGUGCUCUUAUCUUGGGGCGGCAAAGCUCAGUAGGGCUAUCUUGAAAGUAGCCUGAAAUCAAUUGGUCAGAUGAAAUCAAUUGGUCAGGAGGAGCCCAUCAGGAGGAUCAAGGACAUGGGUGACACAGUGAGUGUAAUUAUUAGUCAGGAUAGGUUAGGUUAGGCAUUAGUGGCAAAUUAUCUCCAAAUCUCAGUGGCUUGGUACAAUAAAGGCUUAUUGCUUAUUCAUGCAGCAUGUCUACUGCAGGUCCACAAGGGCUCUGUUCCACUCACAGAUCCAGAUUGUAACAUUCUUUGCCAUCUCAUAGCUACAUGAUCUAAACAUCAGCAGAAGGAAAGUGUCUUGGGUCAGGCUACCUGGAAAACAGAUCAAGAUAAAGAUUUCUGUGCAAAAAGGUUAUUGGGGAGGGAACUCUAAUUGAUAUCUGCCAGGGAUAGUGCAAGAAUGGUUGAGCAGACAAUUGUUGAACUACUUACUAUGUAUGUAGUAACAACAAAGGUCUUGACCAACCCAAAAGGGAGUCCUGGAGCUCAAAUGGUUCUUCACAGUUCUCUCACCUUAAGGCAAGGGACCUGGGCCUUUAUUAUCCCUUAUCAACCAGUCAUUUGAUUAGCUUGACCCCAGAGAGAGGUUAUGACCUUGAGUAAAGUGGCUCUCCUCUACUGAGGAUAAUUCCAGGAGAGCAACUCAGCUGAGAGCUGUCAGCAAUGGGAGGAAUCAGAGUCUCAGUCCUGAAGAGCAGAUCUGGGCAGCAUAUCAUAGCAUCCACCACAAGGGGGAAAGUGCGUGCACUUUUCAUUGCCUCCACCUGGGAGUGACAUAUGCCAUUUUUUGCUGUCAUUUCAAUGACCAAAAGGAGUCACAUGAUUCUAAUUGGAAGGAACCUGGG
rnacentral:lncRNA from 10 species